rnacentral:rRNA from 1 species
GAUCGGGGACGGGGCCCCUCGCUCCCGACGCGUGCGUCGACUGGACGGACUGUUCCCAGUCCGCCUCCGACCGCGCCGCGUCGCCAGGGCGGGGACGGCCCUCGUACAGCAGGCGCUCGAGGUCCGCGGCGAGGUCGGCCACCCACCC